GAGGGAAUUAGGCUGGAGUGGUCGCGUCGUACAGGAUUAUACGUCUAAAGUAAGUACGAGUAAAAUUGUGGAAAUUUUUCCUUCGUACUUCGAGAGAGGGUGGACGCAUCCGGCGAACAAGAGGCGAUGCGCUUGGACCAUUAUUGGACUCCGAGGACGAGGUAUUAUGGAGAUGUUCGAGCAGACGAUGGACUAGCGUCUGAACGUGAUGUAUUUUACAGCCGAUAGAAGUCGAUGUCUGUUUGAAAACGCACGUUAGAUUACCGGUCUAUCUCCGCAAGAUGCAUAUCGAUCCUGAAAAUAAUACACCUUGACAUUUGAGUGGAAUAUUUAAAACUAUUAUCGAUAUUAAUGAAUACGCUAUGAAACGAAAAAAAAAAAGUGUCAAAAGCGCAAUAAGGAUCAUUUGUAUUGCACAAAGUUCAUCUGACCUUAACCGAUUGUUCGAGUAUAUAAUGGAAUAAAAUCUGGAUUGUCUUAAUGUAUCCUUUCACGUUUACUCAUUCAUUCUGUGCAUUGCGAAAAAGAAAGAUAGAAUAAAAGGUCGAUCGAUAUAAAGACGAUCGAAGAACG
rnacentral:misc_RNA from 1 species